UACGAUGGAGGGCAAGCGUUGUCCGGAUUUAUUGGGCGUAAAGAGCGUGUAGGCGGCCAGGUAGGUCAGCUGUGAAAACUCGAGGCUCAACCUCGAGAUGUCGGCUGAAACCAUCUGGCUAGAGUCCGGAAGAGGAGAAUGGAAUUCCCGGUGUAGCGGUGAAAUGCGCAGAUAUCGGGAAGAACACCCGUGGCGAAGGCGGUUCUCUGGGACGGUACUGGACGCUGAGACGCGAAAGCGUGGGGAGCGAACAGG
rnacentral:rRNA from 1 species